rnacentral:rRNA from 1 species
CAAACGACUCUCGGCAACGGAUAUCUCGGCUCACGCAUCGAUGAAGAACGUAGCGAAAUGCGAUACUUGGUGUGAAUUGCAGAAUCCCGCGAACCAUCGAGUUUUUGAACGCAAGUUGCGCCCGAAGCCAUUCGGCUGAGGGCACGUCUGCCUGGGCGUCACG